GGUGGCUCAGUGGUAGAGUGCUUGCCUUGCAUGCAGGAGGCCCUGGGUUCGAUUCCUCAGCACCG
rnacentral:tRNA from 1 species